UAACACCGGCGGCCCGAGUGGUGAUCGUGAUUAUUGGGUCUAAAGGGUCCGUAGCCGGUUUGGUCAGUCCUCCGGGAAAUCUGACGGCUCAACCGUUAGGCUUUCGGUGGAUACUGCCAGACUUGGAACCGGGAGAGGUAAGAGGUACUACAGGGGUAGGAGUGAAAUCUUGUAAUCCCUGUGAGACCACCUGUGGCGAAGGCGUCUUACCAGAACGGGUUCGACGGUGAGGGACGAAAGCUGGGGGCACGAACCGGAUUAGAUACCCGGGUAGUCCCAGCCGUAAACGAUGCUCGCUAGGUGUCAGGCAUGGCGCGACCGUGUCUGGUGCCGCAGGGAAGCCGUGAAGCGAGCCACCUGGGAAGUACGGCCGCAAGGCUGAAACUUAAAGGAAUUGGCGGGGGAGCACAACAACGGGUGGAGCCUGCGGUUUAAUUGGACUCAACGCCGGACAACUCACCGGGGACGACAGCAAUAUGUAGGCCAGGCUAAAGACCUUGCCUGAAUCGCUGAGAGGAGGUGCAUGGCCGUCGCCAGUUCGUACUGUGAAGCAUCCUGUUAAGUCAGGCAACGAGCGAGACCCGUGCCCACUGUUACCAGCAUGUCCUCCGGGACGAUGGGUACUCUGUGGGGACCGCCGAUGUUAAAUCGGAGGAAGGUGCGGGCUACGGUAGGUCAGUAUGCCCCGAAUUUCCCGGGCUACACGCGGGCUACAAUGAAUGGGACAAUGGGUCCCUACCCCGAGAGGGGUUGGUAAUCUCCCAAACCCAUCCGUAGUUCGGAUCGAGGGCUGUAACUCGCCCUCGUGAAGCUGGAAUCCGUAGUAAUCGCGUUUCAAUAUAGCGCGGUGAAUACGUCCCUGCUCCUUGCACACACCGCCCGUCAAACCACCCGAGUGAGGUAUGGGUGAGGGCACGAACUUCGUGUCGUGUUCGAACCUGUGCUUUGCAAGGGGGGUU
rnacentral:rRNA from 2 species